rnacentral:lncRNA from 1 species
AGAGAAACACUAUAAACUCCCAAGAACAGCAAGAUCAUAUUUGUAACUAUGGUGUGAUUUUGUAAUUAUAUAUAUUUUUAUCUGUUUUUGAAAGUUUGAUGCAUUUUUUAACAGAUAAGUAGAAAGUGGCUUUUCCAUGUCAAACUCACUGUGGAAAGCUCUGUGGGGAACCAAGAUAACUAAUGCAUCAAUCCUGUUGUGGGGUGUGAGGCUGGCAACAGCACACAAAAUAUGUGUUAUGGGAGCUCAGGGGAGGAGAAAUUAAUUCCAAGUAGCAGCAGCACUACUGAGUAUUUCACAAGUGAGGAGGACAGGGCAAUCUGGGCAGAGGAAGUAGACUCAACACAGGUACAGAGGCUGGAAUGCUUGGAGAGCACUGUGAAGGCCACUGUGGCUGGACUGUCCCUGCCAGGGGAGAAGGAGGCAUGGGACUUUGGCUAAAAAAAUAAACUGUCAAAGGAACUGGCAUUUGCUGACUGGACUACAGCACAUCUCGAAGAAUCUGCAGACUGAAACCUUCAAGGCAUUCAUGAAAUGGUCUUCCCUUAGUUCCCCUGCCUUUUCCACUCUUUCUGCCAUUUGGAUUUCACACUGGAAGUUCAAGAGAUGACAUCAGAAAACAGAAAAGCCAGUGGGAAAGGCAAGGUAUAAAGAACUUUCAGGGAAUACUCACAUCAUAAAUUCGGUCAGUGGUGUUCAAAGCAAAUUCUGCUGUUUCAUUGGCUUCACUAACAUAAUUAACAAUAUUUUCAUAGACAUUUGAUGCAUCCAAAGCCUUCUGUACCAGCCCGUUCAUAUCUGAACUGUGCAACUUCCUGUUAAUAAACAAACAUUGUUAUUUC